rnacentral:lncRNA from 1 species
AGUUAUUUUUCCUGACAGCAUUCGUGCGGUUGCUACUUCUAUAGACGCAAGCUCGCCACUCAGUGACCACUCUUCAAAAUUUAGGAGCAUGAUUAAUAAAUCGCUCCCCUCUUCCCACCAACAGGCGCUCCAAGAGCUCCUUGCCCG